rnacentral:lncRNA from 1 species
UCUCGACACCACAAGUGCACACAGUCAUCAGUUUCUGUGAAAAACUAAUGCAAAAAUGACAGUGGAGAAGAAAUCCUUACAGCAGCAGGAUAAACUGAAUAGCCUCAAGCCUGCCUAUGACAGCAAAGGGAGAAAAGGAUUUUACUUCGCAGCCAGUUAUCUGAAGAGCUGUAACUAAGGCUGGAUAUCUGUGUCCCCUCAUGCCACAUUAUUGCCACAUUAUCUUUCUUAACAGGUGAGUGUUUGUUUGUGACUAUGAGGUUCCAACAGCUACUGCAAUGUGAUCUUACCCUGGAGAGCUGCAUACUCUGGUGGGAGAUGUGCUUUGAGAGAAAACAAGUAUAAAGCACUAAUGAUUGGCUUGGUCUGGAUAAACAGAGGUUUCACACUUUAAACUAGAUGUACACUGAAGAAAUGUCAUUGUGGAGCCUAAUUGGAUUGAACAACACUUUGUCCUCUCCAGGGAGAUAGUAUUGGAUGAUGACUUCCAGCAAAACAUCAUGGUACCCCAUGAAGUCAGAGGCUGGUCUUGAUGUUGAGAUUCUGUUCUGGGCUACCUGGGAAAACGCUUUCCAAUUAUGAAGUUUCUGGAUAUCCUAAAGCCCUAAAGGACACCUACUCCAAGGAGACAGACAGAUAACAAUAGGUGCAGCCAGUAUUUUGACCACAGUUUUAAAGUAGUUCUAAAAUUUCAUUACUUUAUUUAAGACCCCCAGCUAAAGCAAGAUUUAUCAGUCUGCAGUGAGCAGCAGGUUCUCAUAAGAGCUCAGCAGUAAGCAGACAGCAAACUGCAUUACUUGAAUGAAAAAGUGAAGUGUCAUAUAAGCUCUACUCUAUUGGAAAUGGAUUAAAACAGAGCCUGUGGCCUUCUCACUAAAUCACAAAAGAGACGUACUUCUGUGAAUACUAUUUUUCCCCAGUUUUUCAAAGGAACU